rnacentral:rRNA from 1 species
UACGGAGGGUGCAAGCGUUAUCCGGAUUCACUGGGUUUAAAGGGUGCGUAGGUGGGUUUGUAAGUCAGUGGUGAAAUCUCCAAGCUUAACUUGGAACUGCCGUUGAUACUAUAAAUCUUGAAUGUUGUGGAGGUGAGCGGAAUAUGUCAUGUAGCGGUGAAAUGCUUAGAUAUGACAUAGAACACCAAUUGCGAAGGCAGCUCACUACACAAAGAUUGACAUUGAGGCACGAAAGCGUGGGGAUCAAACAGG